AGAAUCAACGCUGGCGGCGUGCCUAACACAUGCAAGUCGAACGAGAAAGGGACUUCGGUCCUGAGUAUAGUGGCGCACGGGUGAGUAACACGUGAAUAAUCUACCUCCGAGUGGGGAAUAACUGAGAGAAAUCUUAGCUAAUACCGCAUAACACUUACGAGUCAAAGCAGCAAUGCGCUUGGAGAGGAGUUCGCGGCCGAUUAGUUAGUUGGCGGGGUAAUGGCCCACCAAGACGAUGAUCGGUAUCCGGCCUGAGAGGGCGCACGGACACACUGGAACUGAAACACGGUCCAGACUCCUACGGGAGGCAGCAGUGGGGAAUUUUGCGCAAUGGGGGAAACCCUGACGCAGCAACGCCGCGUGGAGGAUGAAGUAUCUCGGUACGUAAACUCCUUUCGAUGGGGAAGAUAAUGACGGUACCCAUAGAAGAAGCCCCGGCUAACUUCGCGCCAGCAGCCGC
rnacentral:rRNA from 1 species